rnacentral:misc_RNA from 1 species
GAUGAAGAACGUAGUGAAAUGCGAUAAGUAGUGUGAAUUGCAGAAUUCAGUGAAUCAUCGAAUCUUUGAACGCACAUUGCGCCUCCUGGUAUUCCGGGAGGCAUGCCUGUUCGAGCGUCAUUAAAAUCACUCAAGCUUAGGUUUACCUAUUGCUUGGUCUUGGAGAUGGAAGCCAAUUUAUUGGAAUCCUCUUCGAAAUUCAAUGGCGAAGACCCUUGCUCUCCCAAGUGUAGUAAUAACUUAUGUCACUGAAGGAAGCGAGAAAUCUUCUGCCGUAACCCCCAUAUUUUCUAUGAUUGACCUCGGAUCAGGUAGGGAUACCCGCUGAACUUAAGCAUAUCAAUAGCGGAGGA